rnacentral:lncRNA from 1 species
UUCUAAAGUAUCUAGGCAAGUGUUCUUUCAUUAUUAGAGAAAAUUAAGUAAAGGGACUCUACAUCAAGACAGUGCUGCUAGCCACCAGCUAGCCAGAGAAGUGGUGACUCGUGCAAAACCACCAAGAAGAGCCCCCCAUCUUACAUCCUUAGAGAGAUCUUGGGACAGAGAAGCAGUGCAAUCUCAGAAGAGAGGACAUGGCCUUUGCCCUUUAUGCUAGAGAUCAACUCCCUGAAUGCGUAGCAGUUCCUCCUCGCACUGAGGUGACAGCAUAAUGUGUGAUGGUGGCCCUCUCUCUGUGUGUUCAAAUCCAACUCUAUCUCAAUGCACAGUUAGGUCCUAUUUUCUCUGAGAAGCCUGGCCUGAUGGAUUUCACAGCUCAUAGGACUGGUAAAAUGCUUUUUAC